CUGCACAUACAUACAAGUCGUGUCCAGUUUCAAUACUUAAUUUGAUGGCAUUAUAAACUGUUUUGACCUACAUGAAACUUGGGUAAGCUGGGCGUUUGGAGAGACCAAGCCGAACUUCCAUGUCGUGGUGGUGGAAGUCAACUGGUUUGAGCAUCUUAAUACAGCUUUCUUCACCGAUCGAUCAAUCAACACUUCAAUUCUAAAGUUAACCAAAACAACGUUCAUGAAACGCAGCUUCGAUCAUCAUCUCUAGGUCUCUAGAUGAGAACCUAACAAAAGAAGAGAUUCAAGGAGAAGAUAACAAACUUUUACAAUUUUCAUCAAUGAAUCUGUAACUUGAUCUUCAGCUUCCUUUAAACGCAACAACUUCUGAUAAUUCAUCUCAGCCGUUGUUUCUUCUCUAAUCUUCACCGUCCACGUGUUUCUUCUUCUUUAACCUUCUUAUUCCUGUAUCAAAUCCUUCCCCUUCGAAGAACCUUGACCUCAAGGUUAGAAUGCAGGCAACUUCGUCUAGUUUUGAUUCCUCCUCACUUUGUGGACUGAUUCUUCUAGUUUUGAAGUUCCUCUGUUGUUUAUACUUAAAACUCCAAGUUUUGGAAAAUUUUCUCUGCUUCAUUGUGAUUCCUAUCAAUGCUCGCCCGACGCAGCUUUGAACCUCAAGAGCAUAUUCAAACAAGAAAUCUGAAUGAUUAUUUUCUGGAGGCCGUGGCGCUGACCCAUAAAGAAAAACAAGCAAGGUGUUGUGGAAACCCACAACUCUUAACUUCACGAAAUGUUCCAAUAUGUGUGCCUGGUGUAUAGGGUGUUCUGUCUCCACUCCUAGCCUUCUGUUAAAAACGCCCAUGCCAACAAAGAACAUGAACAUUUCAUCCAAAUAUACUAGAGGCCUCAGCUUUGUAUUCACUUUGCUAUGCCAACUCUCUGAUUCUUGUAUUUCUUUCUUGGAUCCUGCCAUGCCCAGAGACUGAUUGGUGCCUUGCAUUUUAUCGUUCCUCUCAACUAGAACAAUACAAGUACUCCGCUGUGUAAAGGCCAAACUCUUGUUUUUAAAAGCACAACAACUUGGGAACAAGGCAUGACUCCUCUGCAAUUUUUUGCCUACAACUAGCAGCUCAACAAAAAACAUUUCAAACAGAUAACAACAUUUCAGAACUCUAUCACAUUUGUAGUAGUUCUCUAACCAUGUCCAGUAAACCUGUGUAGCUAGUAAUCUCCCACGUUCCCAUACACGAUUAGGUCGUAUAACCAGCAACAACAUCUGCUUCUUAUACUCGUAACCAUAUAUGUCGAAUCCAUGCUUCCAUUCUUUUAGACCAACACUAGAGUUUAUAGUUAAACUACCAAGUUCCCUUUUCCAAGUCUGGGAGUCUGUUAAUGGUGAAUAAAGCAUCUUUGUACUUAAGUUUGUCCCAUAGAGCCUCUGUGAUAUCUUCACAAUUAUACCACACGUGUGAACAUGACUAAGCCAAUCCCACUGAUCUUGUAUACACGUUACCCCACCUGGCUUCCACACAUAGUUUGCUUGAGAAAAACUACGGAUAAAAUCACAGAUUAUUAAACUUGUCGGAGGUAACCUAGUCAUUUCAUUGUCAUGAACAAGCAUCUUAGGGAGAAUCAACAUAUCAACACCAUGACCGAGUCUUGACUCAAAUAAGUUUGUACCAGCAUGUGACUGCAACCUAUUGUUCAUUAUGUGGUCCGAGUCAGAAACCGGUACCUGAGGAUACAUAAACCUUCCACUUCGAUGUGACACUUGCUCUGGUCUCGAGUCCAUAACUUCACUCAUCAUAUCCUCCUCUAUUUGUGGCAUGAGUUUUUGCAAAUUUCGGUUCAUGAUUUUGAAUUUCCAGAACUUGAAUCUGAUAAGUGGCCAUAUGGGAAGUGUUUCAUGAUACACUUGAUCAUUUUCCCUGAAACAAUCAUCUUUGAGAAUGGACCAAGUUUUGGAAAACUCUUUCUUCUUCAUCAAAGCAACUUUAGCACUUGAACAAAUAUAUUUGUACAUGACAUCCUCUCUGUAAAUCAAUUUAUGUGCAGUUGGAUGCCGGUCACUCCUUGGUUUCCUUUGUUUGAAUUUGAACCUCCAAGAUUUAAACCAUUUAGUUUUCUUCUUUAUUCCAAGUCUUUCUUUAUGUUGAGACAUUUUACCAAACACCUGGUGUGCAUAGCAAAUUUUCUCGAUACUUAGCACUUUCGGACUCCUCUCAACAUCACCUUCAACCUCAAAUAUCUGAUCAAUGUUCUUUUGCACCCAUUCUUGCUCCAGAUUCUCGUCCAUCACCACAUAUUCUCGAUUUUGCACUACUUGCUUUACUUCCCUAAGUUCAAUAUUCUUUAAAAUCUCAGAAUUAUCAAUUGAUACCUGAAACUGUGGAGUUGAUUCUUCCUCCAAGAUUGCUCCAUGUACUAAGCCCAUCGAUUCCAUCUCAACCUCAAUUACUUCUUCUUCCUUAUCCUCCUCAGCUUUCAGUUCACUAUCCCUCUUAAGUGGAAGGAUCCCAACGUUAUCAAUGUUGCUUCUAGGAUGUGCAUACUCAUAAAAUUUUCCAAUUAAGAAACAUUGCUGAAUCGUUUGAGGCUGAAACAUUUGAACAUUCACUUGAGUAUCAAUUUGUAGACCAUCCAAAUAGACUCUAACCAAGUAAUCUUCUGGCAGAUUCACUCUUGUGCUAAGCAGCUCAAAAUUUUUGUGAUAUUCAACAAUACCGUUCGUCUCUUUUAACUGCUUUAGCUCAGCAAUUGGAUCAUCUAAAACUUUCUCAAAUCUAUUUAAUCGAAUCGCUUCUAGCAUCUCUGAAAACUUUCGAUCAAUUUCCUGAUUUUGUUUCGUCAUCAAAUCUUCGAACGCUUGAAUCCUUGAUACAAACGUGUCUUCCGUUUUUCUAACCACCACUUCCUUCAAUAACGAUUGCGAUCGAGUCUCCGCCAUGGUUUCACGAACCACCGUUUCCUUGAAUAACAUCUAAGAUCGUGUCUCCGCCAUUGAUACGAAUCCGAGGAUGACACAGCUCUGAUACCUUUAAUACAGCUUUCUUCACCGAUCGAUCAAUCAACACUUCAAUUCUAAAGUUAACCAAAACAACGUUCAUGAAACGCAGCUUCGAUCAUCAUCUCUAGGUCUCUAGAUGAGAACCUAACAAAAGAAGAGAUUCAAGGAGAAGAUAACAAACUUUUACAAUUUUCAUCAAUGAAUCUGUAACUUGAUCUUCAGCUUCCUUUAAACGCAACAACUUCUGAUAAUUCAUCUCAGCCGUUGUUUCUUCUCUAAUCUUCACCGUCCACGUGUUUCUUCUUCUUUAACCUUCUUAUUCCUGUAUCACAUCUCGGUCUUUAGCAGCUCAAAAAGAACCGUAAUGGCUGUGAAUAAGAGAAGUUA
rnacentral:lncRNA from 1 species